UCAGUCACAGGGGAGAAGAAGAACACCAGCUUCAAUCACCAUUGAAGAGAUGUUUGAAGAUUUUAUCGUCGUUUUAGUUAGGAGAUCAUCGUCGUUUUAAUCAGGGAUAUAAUUAAAAGCUAUUAUCCUCACAUACACUAAACGAUGGAUUUCGAAAUCACUUGUGUAUCAAUCCACUCUACAGAUUCAUACGCUUGCAUGCUUAAUAUUCAGUCAACACUUGAGUACUUGAAAUCUAGUGUUUGUUCUAGAUGGAAGCAUUUGUCAGCAAAUUCAAUUGAGUUAAUGUGUGAUGGAGGUGCUGGACAAAGUAUGGUUGUUGACACAGAUAUGAAGCUUUAGUCGAUGAUUUCACUAUGUUUUUUUAAGAAACCAAAUUGUUUGGUGUUCGAUCUUCAACUUGUGAAAGAAACUCCAAUGAUGCAUUUUCUUUUAUCGGAAGAUCCACUAGAGUUAACGGUUCCCAUUAGUGCUCUGGACUAUUUUGCGACAACAGUAUCUAUUAAACACAUACAUACUGUACCUGCUAAUGCUUGUGGUAUGGUACCUGCUGUACCUGCUAAUGCUUGUGGUAACGUACCUGCUAAAGAUGUUGUGGUGCGUUAUCUGAUCACCGUGCGUACAAUGGAUUGGUAGAGACUAAGAAAGGUAGCAAGUCAGAUGAGUGGGAAUUUGUUAUAACUGGGGUUGGCCAAGAGUUCAGGGGUGGACGUGAUGAAGCUAGCCUUACAGUAGAAAAGUACAAUCACUUUUUUGGUCGAAAGACUAGCGUUGUGAAAAGUGGUGAGAGGAGAUAUACGGUGGAGUGUCUUUAUAAAGAAAAUGGUUGUAACUGGUGAUUUCAUGCAUCGUCAAAGACUUCCGGUGAGAAGAAUAAUUUUGUACUUCAAAGCUACAAUAGAGAGCAUACUUGUUGUGUGCCGGUUCUAGGGAUGAAACUAAAGACGCUCUCAUAACACGUGCCCUUGUCAAGAGUUUGAUAUUUGAACAAAUCAAAAAUAACCCCAACAAGAAACCUUGUGAUAUCAUGGCUGAUUUCAAGAGUGAUUGUAACUUAAAUUUGAGUUACGAUUAAGCUCAUGAUGGAAAAGAAGAAUGCUUAAAAGAACUGUACAGGGAGCAGGCUGAUUCUUAUAAUGAGUUGAUAUGGUUUCGUGAUGCCGUGAAGGAAACGAACCCUGGUAGCGUAGCUGAUUUGGUUUUGGAUGAUGCAACAAAAAAAUUUAAGAGCUUAUUUCUAGACUUUGAAGCUUGCAUAUUCGUUUUUGAGUAUUGCCGACCGGUGAUCUUUGUGGAUGCAACUUUCUUAACCGACAAGUUCAAGGGAUGCCUUAUGUCAGCUACCGGGAAAAAUGCUAAUCAAGGAAUUUUUCCUUUGGCUUAUGGAAUUGUUUUCGGGAAAAAUGCUGAUAAUUGGCGUUGGUUCUUGAACAAGUUAAAGGAUGUAUUGAGGACUUCUCGCCCGUUAACCUUCAUCUCGGACCACCAUGAUGGCCUUGUUUAUGGUAUUCCUGAUGUCUUCCCUGAGUCACACCAUGGUUUCUGUUAACAACACUUGAAGAACAACGUUCGUACACAUAUUAGGAAGAAGAAGGAGGAUUAUCAUACUACAAUGGAAUGUUUCAUUCAGUGUUUCUAUUCAUCAGCCAUUAAAGGGUUUCGUGACGGUAUGGCUAAGUUGAAGGAGAUGGGUUGCAAUGGUCUUCAUGAAUUCUUAAGUGAUCUUCCUGUAGAAUGCUGGUCAACAUCACAUUGUAAAGGCUGUAGAUUUGGAGAUAUGUGUUCAAAUAUUGCUGAAUCGUUCAACAAUUGGGUCACUUAUGCGAAGAGUUUUCCUGUUGCUGCUUUAGUGAAUGAGAUUUGUAUCAAGAUCAUGGAUCAGAUGAAUAAGAGACGACUGAAAGGUGCGGCAGAUUUAGGGUUUGUCUGUCGGAGGAUUGAAAAAAGAAUUAAAAAGUUUAUUCAUGAUGGUGGCAGUUUGACAAUUACCAAGUGUGGCGACCUUCUUUUUGAAGUACAAGGUGAUCACUCAUUUGUCAUUGAUCUGAAUAAGUGGUAUUGCAGCUGUAACAAGUGGUUUACCUAUCAGUUCCCUUGUGAUCAUGCCAUUCAGUGUAUGGUUUCAUCCAAACUCUCCGUCUAUGAGUUUGCGAAUCCGUUUUACAGCAUUAGUUUUUUCCGGGCUUCGUAUUCGCAGUCUAGCAACCCCAUUCCCAGUAAUAAAGCCAAGAAGGGUUACCGCGGGAGAGAUGUUCCUUCUACCUGAUGUGACUGAGAAGAAACGGGGUAUGCGGCAGAAGAAAAGGAUUCCUAACACCGGUUCUAUCUUCACGGGAGCUAUUCGGUGCGGGAACUGCCAUACUAACGCCAGGCACAAUAGAACCACAUGUCCCCAUCCUCCUGCCAAGAAGCCUCGUCUUCUCCCCGCUGCUUGAGAAUCUCUUACUUUCUUAUCUUUUGUAUACAACCUGGUUGAGUUUUAGAGUAAUUGAUAUUCCAUUGUUCUUUAUUUUUGCUACAAUGCAAUAAUCAUUGAUAUAAAUUCUAAUGUAAUUUUUUUAUGAUU